rnacentral:misc_RNA from 1 species
UAUCCGUAGGUGAACCUGCGGAAGGAUCAUUAAUGAGUUGUCAUGGGGUUCGAUGCUGGCAGCCAAUUUUUGGAUGCAUGUGCUUGCCCUAACAAUCAUCUUCCAAACACCUGUGCACAUUUUUGAGGGAGUCUUGAGUUGGUUGCCGCUCUUGGGUGAUUUUCUCACAUUCCCUUAAAUCAUUAUACGCUAUUAACAAUGUUGAACGUGCUCUGUGCAGCAAGGCUAUUAAUAUAAUACAACUUUUAACAACGGAUCUCUUGGCUCUC